GCUACUUCGACUUGCAGGCUGUUCUUUCUUCGUAAGUAAAUGUUGCACAAAACUAUUUAAAUUUCAUUUUAAAUGUUCUAUUCGGAAAUACUAGAUUAAAACGCACACUUAAGUGCGAAUUUUACUUAAAGCCCUGCUCCGCGGCUAUUCAAAUUCUUUUAUGUUUAUGCAACCCAUGAUUACAAUAGGUAACAGUUAACGACCACGCGUCACACUUUAGCACGUAAAACCACAGGUAUUUCAUAUAGAAUUUUAUAUAAAAUAGACAAUUAUUUUGACAGGCGUCACUGUUCAUAGUCAGGAUUUUCAUGCUUUUUCAGUGACAAAUAAAGGUUAAAAGAUAGGACGGGAGCAGGGCUUUAAGCGUCCUUUCAUUGCUUUGGGUAAAUAUACAUUUACAUGAAAAUGUGUUUACUAACAAUGGUGUUAAAACUGCUCUUGGGUUGUAAUACCCUGAAAACCAAAAUGAGAAACUUAAACCGGUGAUGAGGUAUCAAAUGUAGUAUAUUUACGCGAGACUUAAUGUUCAGUAGAAAUAUCGACCCACACCAACGUAGAAACUUCAUAUGUGUACAGUAGCUAUUGUACAGUAUGUAUAUUCAUAGCUUUAUUAUGUGGAUUAAUGAUUAAUUUCCUUGUUGAUUAGAUUGAAAUUAUAUCUUUAUUUGUCAUGACUACCACAAAGUUAAAACAAACUGAACCUGGAAUACGUCAACAUUUGGUCAACACCUAUACUGACAGUUGAACGAUAACAGACAGUCAUUCGAGACAAGACCGACAACCACAACGUUUGGAAGAAUUUAACAACACUUUGUGUCACUGGGAUCUGAAUUUGUAUAGGGUGACCAUCUUCUGAAGUUUUGUCCCAAGUUAUUCUUAUCGUGGAUACAAUAACAAUGGAUAUAUCAAACAAGGAUCCUGCAAAUAUAACAUACAUUUUUCAAUUUGAAAAGACACAUAACGUGGCAGCGUUUGAUGAUUACAUGCGCCAGCACUGGAGUGACUGUUUUAUUUAUUCAGCAAUUUAUUUGGUUGUCAUAUUUAGUAGCCGCUAUGUUAUGGCAAACAGAGACAGAUUUGAACUCAGACCUUACUUGGCAGUAUGGAGUGGGGUUUUAGCAGUAUUCAGUAUUUUGGGCACUAUUGGAACUGUUCCAGAAUUCAUUUGGGCGUUAUCGUACCACGGUUUUGAAUACUCGUGCUGCAGCAGUUCUUACCUAGAUGAAGGAAAAGUUUCUGCAUUCUGGACAAUGCUUUUUGUAAUAUCUAAAGUUGUCGAACUAGGGGAUACUGUAUUUAUAAUUUUGAGAAAACAGCCAUUGAUAUUCUUACAUUGGUACCAUCAUAUAACAGUGUUAAUGUACGUCUGGUGCAGUUAUAUAGACAAAAUAGGCACGGGUAGAUAUUACGUAGUAAUGAAUUUUACUGUUCAUUCGCUAAUGUACACAUAUUAUACUCUUAGAGCAAUGAAAUUCCGACUUCCGAGAUGGAUAAGCAUGUUAAUAACAUGUUGUCAGCUUGCUCAAAUGGCAGUAGGGAUUUUUGUUAUACUCGUAUCUUAUAGUGUUCUAUCUGCAGGAAGAGAAUGUGUCACUAGCUAUACAAACAUAAAAUACAGUCUGACUAUGUAUUUUAGCUAUCUUGUACUAUUCAUGCACUUCUUUUAUACCAGUUAUAUUGCGAAGAGACCAGUAGUCCAUGAAAAGAAACUCUGAAUACACAAAACUAUUUAAAAUUCAAAAGAGUUGGUAACUGAUAUAACGCGUGUAUCAUAUGAACUCUUUCUUUUAAGUAAUUGGUAAGAUUUGACUGAAUGCAGAAGUAAAAGCGAUUGAACUGGUGUGAUAAGAUUAUUUCCUACUGGGUUUUGAAUAUGUGUAUUAUAUUUUGGACCUAGUGGAAAGACAGAACUUACUGGCUUUCUAACUGGACAAUUUUGUUUUAUAUAUCCAAUUACAUACAGUGUAACAGGUACUCGUUGACACAGCCUUCAAAUGACGACAACUAAACAAGAGUUGAUUUUUUAUUUUCGAUUCCAAAAACAAAAGAUUUUAAAAAGAAAUUUUCUUGCAUACUGGACUAGCGUUUUCCGUGACGUUUCAUACUGGAGAACCAUGCCGGGCUGUAAAUGACGUCGAACGAACUAUAGUCAUUCAUGCUGGAGAACCAUGCCGGGCUGUAAAUGACGUCGAACGAACUAUAGUCAUUCAUGAAGUAGAACUGGGAAUUAAUUAUAUGAUUUUAUGUAAAACUCAGUAAAAACCCUGAUAGUUGCUUUUUGUUCCUAAUAAUACAAUUUUUGAUUCAGAAAAAAGUUAUUUACGUGCAAUGCAUGGCUGUACGCUACAAAUAAUAAAAGUAAACCAGAAUUAUACAUUGUAAUGCGUCUACAAAUAUCAUCACAUUAUUUGAUUUUACGAAUGUUAAUUUAUGUUUCAUUUAAAAAAAAAAAAGACUUCUUGACGAUAACAGUGCUGCAAAGAAAGUCAAAUUUGUUUUCUGCACAUGUAGUUUAUUCUGCUAUUUGUAGAGUAUGUUAUAAAUGUAUGUAUAAACUAGUUUUGACACAGUCUUUGCCAUUUACAUAUAUUGCUACUACACAAAAGGUAACCGUAGUAGAUAAAAAAGAUGCACAACCUGGUAAAUUGUCGAAGUUGUUUAACAUAUCAUUAGGUUGAUUAAGUAUCAAUAUUUUAUCUCGAUGUAUCAGAAAUAUACGUUUAUAUACACAAUAUUAAAUAUGAGUUGGAGAUGUUUUAGGAAUGGUGACUAAGAUUUUAGAGUCGAUUAUCGCUUUUUGUGAUGUUUAGAACAAUUUCAGUCCACUUAAUUCGGCUAUGUUUUAUCUCUUGUAAUAUAUAUGAAACACACACAAAAAAACAGUUUUAUAUUUAUAGUCACUCAGUUUUAAAUUGUUGUGCUUUACUUAAAGAUCUAUAUCUAAAUAAUUACUGCAGCAGUUUAUACACGUGCUCACAGCUAAAAGUUAUUAUUGAGAAUUUAGAUUGUUACAUACAUUCUUGUAAUUGUUCUUCUAUCAUUCAUUUAAGAUUUGUUUAUUCACGGCAUUAAGCAUUUGGUAGUACUUUAUCUGAAGAACCAUGGUCAUGAACGGAAAAAUGCGGUGACCCAUUUCAAUCGCGCAUUUCUCACCUGAAACGUACAGAACGGUAAAUGGGUACUAAGUAUAUUGAACAAGUGGUAAUUUAUUUCCCGUCUUGUGCCAGUCACAUUGUUUCAACAUUUCAUAUGGCAGAGACACGCUUUCGUUAUGGUUCUUUUAGUAGACCUGGCCCCGUGUUCACAAAACGUUUUCAGUCUCAGCUGAGUUUGAUAAAGAAACUUUAUUUGUCAUUUAUAUCAAAAUAGCAUGUUUAAAACUGAAUUUUAAGUUACUAACUAUAUUCAAGUGGCUAUUUAGUACUGAUGGUCAGACUCAGUUGGAAUUUAACCUCGAAGGUUUAGUAAAAUUUAUAAUAGAAUUUCAAACUCAAACUCAGCUGAGACCGAAAAAUGUUUUGUGAACAUGGGACCAGGGGGUAGUGUAUAACAUGUACAAUGCCAUUUUCUUUCUGGUCUGGUGCAGGUGGUCGUUUCUUCAUUUUCAUGUUUCCCAUGCAUCUAACAAGAGCUAUAAUGAAAGAGAGGUUAUUCAACGAACUUUUACUCCAUAAACCAUUAUUGUUAAUCAGGAUAACGAAAUGUAUAGGAGAUUUUAGGAACCAUCCUACUUAGCACAAAGUUUAAAUAGAAAACGUUGGUGUAUAAUAGUAAGAGCUGCAAGUCUUUACACGCUUGUCUGCCCCCACUUCUCCCCACUCCUCUCUCUGCUCUUCUUUUUUGCUCUUCUUUUUUGUGUUAUUCGCAUACAUAUUUGGUUUUAUUUAUGUUUGGUGUCUGAAUAUUCUAAUAUCGUAAAAUUAAUAUUUUAUGCAAUUGAAUAGUAAAUUACUUAUGGAUGUCUUGUGUAAAAGUAAAAUAAAAUAUUAUGUACUCUGA